UUGAGGCAUAAAAGAAAACUCAACAGAUGGAACAGGACCCCACAAGCAACUCUUCAAACCUGAAUCAUGCAUUUUUCUUGCAUACAGGGAUGGAAAUGCUGAGCACUUGCCAGUCACUUGGAAAGACUCUUAAAGAGGCAGAGCCUGCCCUUGACCUCUUGUCCCCUCCACUGGACUGCCGUCAAGUCUUCAUUGUUAUGUGUAGAGUUCAGUCCCAGCAAUAUCACCCUCCAAGGAAAUGUGCAAAUGACUGAAACUUGUAGAAGAACUCUCAUCAUGUGAAACAUCAGAGAAGAGGUUCAAUAAGAGCUAAGUGAAAUUCUGUGACAAUGGAGACAGAAAAUGCUGAAGGAAGAAAACAGCUGGAAAGGGGAAGAGAGAUACAUGGCAGGAUUUAUGAAACAGUAUUAAUAAACAAUGGAGGAGCAUAACACAGGGACAUAUGUUAGAGCUGUCAGCAAGAUAAUACAUUAUAUUGGCUGUAAGAUAAACAUGUCAAGUAAACAGUAUUAUUUUAUUAAUGUAAUUAUGAAUGUCUGCUAGGACGGCAUAUAGAUACAAGGUAAUUUUUGAUGGUUGAUAGGCUCAGUUUGUAUUUUCCAUCUGAUGGUGAAUUUCAUGGGGGCAGAGACUGUAUCUUAUUCUUUUUAUACUUUCUAGUGAUUAGUUCAACACUUAUGACACAGAAAGCAGUGAAUAAAUAUUUGUUUUUUUUUAAAGGACAUCUGAUGUUUAAAAGUCUUUGUAAUCAGCUUGAUCUUAUACAUGCUUUUUAAUUUUCCUCUUCUCCCUAUGCAUGCCUCCCGCCCUAUGCAUCACUGCCUCAAGAAGGCAUGCCAGCAUCCAUUCUCUUCUCUUGGCCUUCCCCAGGCUGUUCUAUAUCCAUUUAUGCUUCAGCACAGCUUAUGUCCCAUAAAGUCUAUGAGGUCUCAUUGCCUGCUCUUUCUAUAUUCAUUUCCUUCUCUUUGAAGGUAGAACGCUCAUGUUCACUUUUCAUUGACUGUUUCACCUGUUCAAGACUCAUUUCCUUGCCGAGACUACAAGCUUUUUGUCAGAAGGAACCAUACUUCAGUGAAGGUAAAUUUCUAUGCUUCCCAUGUUGCAGAG